rnacentral:lncRNA from 1 species
UGCUGUUCGAGGUCCUUUGUGCUCGGCCUGCCUUGAACCCCACUCUUGCAAAGGAAGAAGUUAGCUUGGCAGAGUGGGCACUGCACUGCCAAAAGAAGGGAAUUCUUGAUCAGAUUGUUGAUCCCUACCUGAAGGGAAAGAUUGUUCCGCAGUGCUUCAAGAAGUUUGCCGAGACGGCUGAGAAGUGUGUUGCCGACAAUGGCAUCGAGCGCCCUUCGAUGGGAGAUGUGCUUUGGAACUUGGAGUUUGCUCUUCAGAUGCAGGAAAGCGCGGAGGAGAGUGGAAGCAUUGGGUGCGGGAUGUCAGAUGAGGGCACUCCCCUCGUGAUGGUUGGAAAGAAGGAUCCCAAUGACCCAUCAAUUGAUUCCAGCACCACUACGACCACAACAACUUCCCUAAGCAUGGGUGACCAAAGUGUCGCGAGCAUCGAUUCGGAUGGGCUGACGCCGAGCGCGGUGUUCUCACAGAUCAUGAACCCCAAGGGGCGGUGAGGUAAAAAUCUGGGUCUGCUUUUCAGUCAGUCACCGUUGGGGCCUGCCUAAUUUAUUCAUUCAGCAUAUUUUCAUGAGUUUGUGCUCUUGCUGUCUCGCAAGUUAUGCAUUAGAAGUCAGAGAAUUGUUCCAUAUUAGAUAUUUCUGUCUUGCCUUGUUUUUUUUACUUCUUCCUCUUCUUCAGUGUUGUAAUGACUCUAUGCUUAUUUGCAUGUUGUUAUUGUACCACCACUGCUAUGUGUUAUUGACCCAACAUAUAAUACUGUAUGAGAAAGAUAGAGUGAUGUGCG